rnacentral:rRNA from 1 species
AUUGAACGCUGGCGGAAUGCUUUACACAUGCAAGUCGAACGGCAGCACGGACUUCGGUCUGGUGGCGAGUGGCGAACGGGUGAGUAAUAUAUCGGAACGUAUCCAAUAAUGGGGGAUAACUAAUCGAAAGGUUGGCUAAUACCGCAUACGUCCUACGGGAGAAAGCUAGGGACCUUCGGGCCUGGCGUUAAUGGAGCGGCCGAUAUCGGAUUAGCUAGUUGGUGAGGUAAAGGCUCACCAAGGCGACGAUCCGUAGCUGGUCUGAGAGGACGACCAGCCAAACUGGAACUGGGACACGGUCCAGACUCCUACGGGAGGCAGCAGUGGGGAACUUUGGACAAUGGGCGAAAGCCUGAUCCAGCCAUUCCGCGUGAGUGAAGAAGGCCUUCGGGUUGUAAAGCUCUUUCGCAAGAGAAGAAAACUUACCCUCUAACAUAGGGUGAGGUUGACGGUAUCUUGAUAAGAAGCACCGGCUAACUACGUGCCAGCCGCCGCCGUAA